rnacentral:rRNA from 1 species
CCCCUUCGGGGGACAGGGUGACAGGUGGUGCAUGGUUGUCGUCAGCUCGUGUCGUGAGAUGUUGGGUUAGGUCCCGCAACGAGCGCAACCCUCGCCUCUAGUUGCCAGCAUUCGGUUGGGCACUCUAGAGGGACUGCCGGCGACAAGUCGGAGGAAGGUGGGGAUGACGUCAAAUCAUCAUGCCCCUUAUGACCUGGGCUACACACGUGCUACAAUGGGCGGUACAAAGGGCUGCGAACCCGCGGGGGGGAGCGAAUCCCAAAAAAGCCGCUCUCAGUUCGGAUUGCAGGCUGCAACUCGCCUGCAUGAAGCCGGAAUCGCUAGUAAUCGCGGAUCAGCAUGCCGCGGUGAAUACGUUCCCGGGCCUU